UUGCCCACCCGGACUGCAGUGUCCUUGGUGUCUAACACAGGGGGGCAGAGCAGCUCUCUCAUAAACCUGAGGUGAAGGUUCAUUUCCUCACCCCGGAGCCUGUCGGGAGAAACAAGU
ensembl:snoRNA Small nucleolar RNA SNORA26